UCAGUGUGUGUGGCCACCUGUACUGUUGGUA
rnacentral:piRNA from 1 species